UACGUAGGGUGCAAGCGUUGUCCGGAAUCAUUGGGCGUAAAGCGCGCGUAGGCGGCCCGAUAAGUCCGCUGUAAAAGUCAACGGCUCAACUGUUGAAAGCCGGUGGAUACUGUCGGGCUAGAGUACGGAAGAGGCAAGUGGAAUUCCUGGUGUAGCAGUGGAAUGCGCAGAUAUCAGGAGGAACACCUAUAGCGAAGGCAGCUUGCUGGGACGUUACUGACGCUAAGGCGCGAAAGCGUGGGGAGCGAACAGG
rnacentral:rRNA from 1 species